rnacentral:rRNA from 1 species
UACGUAGGGGGCUAGCGUUAUCCGGAAUUACUGGGCGUAAAGGAUGUGUAGGUGGUUUCUUAAGUCAGAGGUGAAAGGCUACGGCUCAACCGUAGUAAGCCUUUGAAACUGGGGAACUUGAGUGCAGGAGAGGAGAGUGGAAUUCCUAGUGUAGCGGUGAAAUGCGUAGAUAUUAGGAGGAACACCAGUUGCGAAGGCGGCUCUCUGGACUGUAACUGACACUGAGGCACGAAAGCGUGGGGAGCAAACAGG